GACGAACGCUGGCGGCGUGCUUAACACAUGCAAGUCGAACGAAAAGGCCCUGCUUUUGUGGGGUGCUCGAGUGGCGAACGGGUGAGUGACACGUGAGUAACCUGCCCUUGACUUUGGGAUAACUUCAGGAGACUGCGGCUAAUACCGGAUAGGAGCUCCUGCUGCAUAGUGGUGGUUGGAAAAUUUCGGCGGUUGGGGAUGGACUCGCGGCUUAUCAGCUUGUUGGUGGGGUAGUGGCUUACCAGGGCUUUGACGGGUAGCCGGCCUGAGAGGGGGACCGGCCACAUGGCGACUGAGGUACGGCGCAGACUCGUAUGGGAGGCAGUAGGGGGGAAUCUGGCAGAAUGGGCGGAAGCCUGAUGUAGCAACGCCGCGUGCGGGAUGACGUCCUUCGGGUUGUAAACCGCUGUCGCCGGUGCUGAAGCGGGAGUGACGGUAACGGGUAAAGAAGCACCGGCUAACUACGUG
rnacentral:rRNA from 1 species